UUUGCUUAGAUUCUUCGGAUGAAGAGGAUUGUGACUGAGCGGCGGACGGGUGAGUAACGCGUGGGUAACCUGCCUCAUACAGGGGGAUAACAGUUAGAAAUGACUGCUAAUACCGCAUAAGACCACAGCACCGCAUGGUGCGGGGGUAAAAACUCCGGUGGUAUGAGAUGGACCCGCGUCUGAUUAGCUAGUUGGUAAGGUAACGGCAUACCAAGGCGACGAUCAGUAGCCGACCUGAGAGGGUGACCGGCCACAUUGGGACUGAGACACGGCCCAAACUCCUACGGGAGGCAGCAGUGGGGAAUAUUGCACAAUGGGGGAAACCCUGAUGCAGCGACGCCGCGUGAGCGAAGAAGUAUUUCGGUAUGUAAAGCUCUAUCAGCAGGGAAGAAAAUGACGGUACCUGACUAAGAAGCACCGGCUAAAUACGUGCCAGCAGCCGCGGUAAUACGUAUGGUGCAAGCGUUAUCCGGAUUUACUGGGUGUAAAGGGAGCGUAGACGGAUGGGCAAGUCUGAUGUGAAAACCCGGGGCUCAACCCCGGGACUGCAUUGGAAACUGUUCAUCUAGAGUGCUGGAGAGGUAAGUGGAAUUCCUAGUGUAGCGGUGAAAUGCGUAGAUAUUAGGAGGAACACCAGUGGCGAAGGCGGCUUACUGG
rnacentral:rRNA from 1 species